AUCAGGGAAACUUCAGAUAUGAGGUACAAGAUUCCCAACCCAGAGCCUGGGGACCCUGCAUUAAAAGACUGAUGUCUCUGUUGCUAAAUCUGGGUCCCUGGUGACUCAGACAGUAAAGAAUCCACCUGGAUUGUAGGAGACCAGUUUUGAACUAUGGGUCAUGAAGAUCCUCUGGACGAGGGCAUGGCAACCCCACUCCAGUAUUCCUGCCUGGAGAAUCCCAUGGACAGAGGAUCAUGGGCACUAUGGACAAAGAUUCAGAAAGCCUGACUCUGAGUCCCUGUUGAUUACAAAUGAGACAUCAAUUUCUGGACCAGACUUUUGAUGAUGGAUUGUUUGGAGGGUGUAACAGAGGAGGCUUUGGUGUUGCUUUGAGGUGCUGGCCUUGAAGCUGCUGUAGCUGCAAGGCUAAUUGGCAGACUUUGAUUUUGAUCUUGUGUCUUUAAAUUGUCAUUAACAUUUUUCAAUAAGUUUUUUUAAUAAAACCAUUUUGGAAUUUUUGA